AAUGAAGCCCCUGUCCAACGCCAUGGUCAUCGCAGGCUAUGCUGAUGGAGAGAGCUUCCUGGGUUAUGUGGACAUGCUUGGUGUAGCCUAUGAAGCCCCUUCGCUGGCCACUGGUUAUGGUGCAUACUUGGCUCAGCCUCUGCUGCGAGAAAUUCUGGAGAAGCAGCCAGUGCUGAGCCAGACCGAGGCUCCUAGUGGAACGCUGCAUGCGAGUGCUGUACUAUCGGGAUGCCCGUUCUUAUAACCGGGUGAGGAACGGGGAAAGAAAGGGAGGUACCUUGAAGACCAAUUUUCUGUUUAACUGAAGAAGGUUCUGACUGGAACAGAAAUUGCGUAUCUUUUUACACAUCUAAUCUACAAGAGGAAAAGGUGAAGCGAGUUUGAAAACCAAUUAUGUGGUGUAAAAGAGGUAACAGCAACAUCGGUUACAGGCACAUAGGUGAAAGUUUGCCAUCACCCCCACCCCCAGCCGUCCUCCUGUUCCAAGUCUGGCUCCAGAAGAGCUGAGACAAGAGCCAUAAAAUGAGUUUUAUGCAAUUAACUCCACCUUUACAGCGGCCCACUUAGCUUGCACCUUCAGUUGAGAGCCCUGGGAAGAAAAGAUUGCAUCAGUCUUGGUUAACGGCCCAAAAUAAGCCAUCAAAACCCCUAAUCAAGCAUCCAUUUUGGACAUGUUACAGUACUGUAAAUAAAAUAUCCAAAGGAAAAUAAAAGCCCUUCUAUCUGA